rnacentral:rRNA from 1 species
CAGUAGCCACGGGAAUACGUAGGGUGCAAGCGUUAAUCGGAAUUACUGGGCGUAAAGCGUGCGCAGGCGGUUAUAUAAGUCAGAUGUGAAAUCCCCGGGCUCAACCUGGGAACUGCAUUUGAGACUGUAUGGCUAGAGUGUGUCAGAGGGGGGUAGAAUUCCACGUGUAGCAGUGAAAUGCGUAGACAUGUGGAGGAAUACCGAUGGCGAAGGCAGCCCCCUGGGAUAACACUGACGCUCAUGCACGAAAGCGUGGGGAGCAAACAGGAUUAGAUACCCGAGUAGUCCCUGUCUCUUAUAA